rnacentral:rRNA from 1 species
UACGAAGGGGGCUAGCGUUGCUCGGAAUGACUGGGCGUAAAGGGCUCGUAGGCGGCCAACUAAGUCCGACGUGAAAUCCCCAGGCUUAACCUGGGAACUGCGUCGGAUACUGGAUGGCUUGAAUUCGGGAGAGGGAUGCAGAAUUCCAGGUGUAGCGGUGAAAUGCGUAGAUAUCUGGAGGAAUACCGGUGGCGAAGGCGGCAUCCUGGACCGACAUUGACGCUGAUGAGCGAAAGCUAGGGGAGCAAACGGG